GCCUUCGUGGUGUAAUGGUCAGCAUACUCGACGCGCAUUCGAGAGGUCCGUGGUUCGAGUCCCGGCAAGGGCA
rnacentral:tRNA from 1 species